rnacentral:tRNA from 1 species
GGCUCUGUAGCUCAGUGGUUAGAGCACUGGUCUUGUAAAGCAGGGGUUGUGAGUUCAAUCCUUGCUGGGGCCU